rnacentral:misc_RNA from 1 species
AAAGAACAUGGCGUCCAAACAAAACGUUUGAAUGUUAUUAUGUAUAGUUCUACCGUUUUAUGCGAGAUCUUAGAUAUUGUUUUGAAUAUGAAGGAUCCUUAAUUAGUACAGGUUACUGAGCUGAUGAUGAAGCUAUACUGCCUGAUCAUCCUGACACUCUGCCUGAAUUUGGCAGAUGGAAUUGUCAGAGAAUACUACAUGGAUGGUCCUAGUACAUGCGGGCAGACCAUCAUUAUUUAUGACAAUAUAAUAAACCUGGCCGCCCGCUCCCCGAUCUCCACCCCUAAUCCUCCCCGGGUCUGUACCACGUACCUACGCUCUGGAUACACAGACUCCUACUAUUACAUCAAAGUGGAGUGGACGGCCACCAUCAAGGACUGUGCCUUUUCCCUGACCAUCUAUGAGGGAUCGACACCAUCUGGAGCCCCCAUUAAAAGUUUCCGCUGCCUAGGAGACCAGGAAAACACAGGGAUUAUUGAGGUCAGGAACUCGGAUAUCACAGUACAAUUGACCCAGGCUUCUGAUCUUUUCCAGCCCCACAACACGUUUAAUCUAAGAAUUUCUACAUUCCGUGAUCCAUCUGCUCCAGAGGUAUCGGAGGGGACCUCCAAACUGCCCACAGGGGCCAUCAUAGGGAUCGUGAUAGGUUUGUUUGCACUGAUUGUGUUCUGUGGGCGAAUCAGAGCAGUCCUUUGCGUCCAAAAACUGGGACAAUCAGAACAUGUGGGCGAGUUUGACUAACACUCCGACCAUGGGUCGUAAAGUCAAACCUGUUACCCCUCCUGUAGCUCCCCCACUGCCCUCUGUCCCAAAGACCUGGGAGAGUGACAGUCAGGCAUCACUCAAACAGGAGCCCGGUGUGCAGGUCUUGUCAUCUUCACCACAACGUGGCAGAAGACGGACCAGAAAUACAGAGGAACCACCCAGGGGCCGCCGUCCUUUAGCAUCUAGUGGCUCCGGAAAAGGUAAUUACAAUAAUGGCUAUGCCAACCAAGAGGAGCAUGAAAAUAGAGCAAAUGCCAAAAAAGAGACAAAUGUGGAUGAUGUGUUUGAGGAUGAUAAACCGGCAGGGGGAGGAAUCUUGCAUGAACUCAGACGAGAGCUGUCUCGAAGACAGAGUAUGAAAGAACUCAAGAGCUCCGAGUCAGAAACGAGCACCAAAAAACCUCUGGGUCCUGGGGAAGGCCCCGCUUCUGAGAGUACACCUAGAACAUCACGGAGAGCAAAUGGCAUGCCUGAGGAAACGGGGACAAUAGAUAGGGCUAAAUACACAGGUAUCGACCAGCAGAGUGAGGUGGGAGAGCCAGAUAAAAUCACCAAUCCACUCCUCAGAACCAAUCCAGCCAUCCGAGCAUCGGUCAGUUCCCUGAGAUCCAGAACCGAUGAAUCACCAGGAUCCAAAAGGAAGAAGCGAAAGAAGAAAUAUGUUGGAGUUCACCGAGAUUCCAGUAGAGGCAAGGGGGACAACCAGGAACACACAACAGACGACUCCAUGCCCAACACCUCAUUUGAUUCUAUGCCACAUGGUCACUCUAAGCAAGAGAAUGGUCCCCUGCCUCCAGAGGCGCUGGCCCCUGUGUUUGCCACAGAUGAAUCAGUGAUGCAACAUUUCUACCCCCCUCAACAGGACUAUCAGAAUCAAUUAAAUGAAAUGGUUUUACUGGGUUAUGAUGCAUAUGGUAAUGCAAUAUUCUGUAACCCUCAUCAGUAUCAGACUAACGGACAGACGUACAUAAUCGACCCUCAUGGUAACUACAUUCCAGUGGCAGACAUGUCCUACCCUGGGCUGCCCGGCUAUACCUCCACCCCGGGGCAUGACUCUUACCAUACCCCUCAGCAUAAUUAUCAUCAAAUGCCAUCAAAUCAGUUAGCAAGAGCAAACAUCAACAACAGCUCCAUAGUGCCAGUAGGGACAGUGCUAGACGAUCCACAAGUGCCACCACCAGGGGGCACCAUAGUUCGGUCUGCAGUGGAUAAAAAAACGGGGGCACAGGUCAACCAGACUAUUUGGACGGACAGCAAGAGAGACCCUACCGACCCCCCGCCUGGAGAGCAGAACCCACAGAUCACCCGUAAAACCAUAGUCAGGGUGACCACCAAGGACUCCAAAGAUGGCCAGCUUCCAUCUGCACCUGAUCCAGCUCUUCAGGAGAUUUCCUUUAAUGCAGCUCAACAGUUACGGCGACAUCCUAAUGAUGACCCUCCUUUCUUGUCCCCAUCUAAACCAGUCCGACCGCUGAUGUCUGGGGGACAACGCACCAUGUACUCCUCCGAAACACCAGAGAGAGCAAACGCCGCAUUUUAUUCCAACAUUCAGCCGCCAGCUGUGAUGGAAACACCAAAGACUUCGGUGAUGCGUGACGCUCCUGUUAAAAACCAUGCCAUACGAGACAAAAUUACAGUAAACAGGGAAUCAUCAGAAAUAUAGAGCCAUUAUAAAUCAAACCCGACAUAAAACAAGUGAAAGAGACACUUUGUGGUUUAAUUUUUAGCAAUAUUUUGUACAAUACAAAUUUUUAUUCAAUUUUACAUUUCAAGUUUACAGUCAUUUUUUUUUAUAUUCUACAACUAUAUAUUUUAAUGAUUUCUUUAGAGAAUGGACUGCAUGUCUAUUUGCAUAAAACAUAUUCAUCAC